UUUUUUUUUUGUGGAAAUUGAAAAAUAAUAUUGUCAGAUUUCUUGUGAACUAAACAGUCUACAUUUUUCAUAGAUGUCUUUCGAGUAGUUGGUAGAUGGGUGAAUUGGUUGGAAGAGACGAAGGUCUGGUCACGUUUCGCGGAAUACAAACAAGUCAGAAGAGCACCUCCAAGUGUUUGAGCUACCAAUUCAGGACAGUUUAACGACCUAAAUGUGCUUUUGAUAAAAAUACAGUGAAACACUGUCAGCGAGGUUUUCCACGAGAAACAUAGGUAAAUUCCAAAUCAGAAAAAUUAUUGAAUUUUAUUAUCAAUAAAGCAGAAAAAUGAUUUUAUGGAGAUCUGUGGCACUAUAUGUAUAUUAGUGUACGUGUCAGAGGGAUGCGUUUUAUGGCUUAUUUAAUAAAAACGUGUAUUACAUCGUUGCACCAGCAGUGAACACAUUCUCCUGUCGUUUUUUCCUGCAGGAAAUGAAAAAUAAUGGAUUCACCGCUCGGUUUCUUGGGAGUCAAUGGAAGCCAAUAAUGGAAGAUCUCAGGCGCUUCCUUAUUCGGGUCCUAGGCCAAUGAAUAAAGUAUUGGGUUAAGUAGAUACGAGGCGAAUAUAUAUAUUCUCGGGAUUCGCGCCCAGUUUGAGUGCCAGAAGGUUUCAGUUGUACUCAAGAAGGAUCUACCUCCCUCUGGCUACUUUCCGAGCAUCAGAAAAGCUUGCGACUACUUUUACGCCCAAUGGCGAGUAUACGCGCGGUUUUAAAGAUGAGAAAAAGAAAGAGAAUAAGGUCCACUUAAAUUUACUUUAAGUGACUCACUUUGAAUUCCAGAGACGUUCACGACAUUACUGCAAGCUUUGUUCACUCAUAAUAUAUAUAUAUAAUAUUAGAAUUUGUAAUUCCUCGCAUAACUUUAAUUUAUUCUUUAAUAAAAAAACAUAUCACGAAAUAUUAAUACUUUAAAAAAUAUAAAACUCAAUAAAUAAAAAUAUUCAAGUUUUUAG